GGGAUUAUUCAGUCGGGAGGUCGCGGACGCAGAGUGUGGAAUGACCAGAAUGGUUCUCCGGACGGAGCCGUCCACGCCUUGCGCUUUCGUGCCACCCGACGCAUUUGUUUCCCGUCCAGAGGACGCCGCAACCGGUUGGAGAACGGCCUUAAGGGCAGACGAUGGCAGGUGGCCGGUGAUUUUUCCCUCGGGAGAGUCUGCCGGUUGUUAGCCGGUUUCUGUCGCACGGCUCGUGAUCCGACCGUGGUGUCGCGAGACCCCUAGCGGGUCUCUUCGCCUCCUCCUUUCGCGGGAAGCCGGGAAUUGGCGGCACGGUCCCUCCCCCCUGCGGGCGCACUGACUGACUCAGUGGCCCAGCUAUCGGGAGGUCCGGUUGGUAGCCUUUUACCCGUUGGAGUGUCGGCGGUUAGCGGCGAGUAGAUCGGUCACCCACCCGACCCGUCUUGAAACACGGACCAAGGAGUCUAACAUGUGUGCGAGUCAAUGGGUCUCGAAUAAGCCCAGAGGCGCAAUGAAAGCAAAGGCCGGACUUGACUUCGGCUGUGUUGGGAUCCUCCUCUUGUAAAAUGGGGGAGGCGCACCAACGACCCGUCCCAUCCGAUUUAUCGGCGGGGCGGAGUCUGAGCAUACACGUUGGUACCCGAAAGAUGGUGAGCUAUGCCCGGGCAGGACGAAGCCAGAGG
rnacentral:rRNA from 1 species